CUCUUUGUCUAUAGGCGGUUGCGUCUACCUCAUGUAGAUAUGGAUGUGGUUUCGCAUACCAGUUGGUCGGCCACGUGUUUUCCAGCCUAGACCAUGGCCAUGGAUCAUUGUUGGAAAUGGCCGUCUUCAACCGACGUAUGCUUAUAUUUGGGACCAAGUGGCAGCUCCUUUUGCUAGAGCUAAGAGGGCAUAUAUGGAGUAUGUUAACGAGUUUGACACGCUUUCGGCCUCUAGCAUAAGUACUCAACAUGUAUAUCUUAUCAUUAUGAAAUUUGUUUUAUUAUACUUAACAUAGAUUGCUUCAUUUUUAUUUCAGGUCACAUGGCAGUCAUACAACGCACCUGAGUUGGAUGGGAUGAUCUUUAGUGAAGUAUGCAACAGUGAAGAUGAACUCUAUAGGAUGCAAUGUCCUAUGAUCUGUUUUUGGUGUGUUGAGUGGCACCUACCUCAUAGGGUUUAGAGGCAGUUUGGUAGGAACCAGAUAUGGCCGGUUGAAGAUAUUCCAACUUCUAAGGAGCUACACAAAUUUGACCGGCGAAAGCAAAAGAAGAUAACAGACUUUCGUCAACAUCAUCUGAUAUUUAUUAAUGAAUGGGAUUUGGGUGGUGAGAAUGUAUAUUCCAACGAUGAGUUGCACAACAACAGUGACUACAGGCGGUACCAAGCUUGGUACCAGGGUGCGACUCAUUGUAAGCUUCGCCAACAGUGGACAGCAGAUGACUACGCUGACAUUGAUUCUUCUGACGAUGAAGAAACGGAGUACGACCUGUCCACUACACUGGAAACCCAAGUGGAGGCGGCACCCAUCUUGGAUCGAGUUCUAAGUUUUACUCGAUUUUAAUACUCGACAUGUAUAAUUGUAUGUUUGAUGCAAAUUAUGUUGUAUAGGGUAACACAUUGAGACGCUCGGUAGAGGACAUUGAUCGCCAACUUUUGACUGUGGGCGACAGCAGCAUGCGCAGCUUCUUGGAGCGUUUAUUUAGGCGCCUACGUGGAGCUGCUGCUCGCUGUGGCUGCAGGACUAAUGUUGCACAUGACGUCCAUGUACCAUCGUAUACCCACACAGCAAUGCCCUCCAUAGGAAUGGGUGCUGGCUUCGACUACGAUCACGACGAGAUAGGACCUUCACAGCUUCUCCACAACGUUAUGCUCUAGGCACCGAUGCUUUAGGCAAGGGUAAGACUAGGAGACGUUGACUUGGUUUGGACUCUAUGGACUUGUUAUGUAGCGUAUGAAUUCUAUGGACUUGUAAUGGACUUGUAUGAAUUCUAUGGACUAUUAU